rnacentral:rRNA from 1 species
GAUGAGGAGCUUGCUCUUCAAAUCGAGUGGCGAACGGGUGAGUAACGCGUGAGGAACCUGCCUCAAAGAGGGGGACAACAGUUGGAAACGACUGCUAAUACCGCAUAAGCCCACGGCUCGGCAUCGAGCAGAGGGAAAAGGAGUGAUCCGCUUUGAGAUGGCCUCGCGUCCGAUUAGCUAGUUGGUGAGGUAACGGCCCACCAAGGCGACGAUCGGUAGCCGGACUGAGAGGUUGAACGGCCACAUUGGGACUGAGACACGGCCCAGACUCCUACGGGAGGCAGCAGUGGGGAAUAUUGCACAAUGGGGGAAACCCUGAUGCAGCGACGCCGCGUGGAGGAAGAAGGUCUUCGGAUUGUAAACUCCUGUUGUUGAGGAAGAUAAUGACGGUACUCAACAAGGAAGUGACGGCUAACUACGUGCCAGCAGCCGCGGUAAAACGUAGGUCACAAGCGUUGUCCGGAAUUACUGGGUGUAAAGGGAGCGCAGGCGGGAGAACAAGUUGGAAGUGAAAUCCAUGGGCUCAACCCAUGAACUGCUUUCAAAACUGUUUUUCUUGAGUAGUGCAGAGGUAGGCGGAAUUCCCGGUGUAGCGGUGGAAUGCGUAGAUAUCGGGAGGACACCAGUGGCGAAGGCGGCCUACUGGGCACCAACUGAC